rnacentral:rRNA from 1 species
AGAGUUUGAUCCUGGCUCAGGUCGAACGCUGGCGGCAUGUCUAAGGCAUGCAAGUUGAACGAUCCACCUUUCUUCGGAAAGAAUGGAUAGUGGCAAACGGGAGAGUAACGCAUUGGUAACCUACCUUGUACUCGUGAACAACCCAUGGAAACGUGGGCUAAUACACGAUACUGAUGGGGGGACGCAAGUCAUUCCCAUUGAAAGAUUUUUCGGUACGAGAAGGGCCUAUGUUCUAUCAGCUUGUUGGUGAGGUAAAAGCUCACCAAGGCUACGACGGAUACCGGGCGUGAGAGCGUGACCCGGCUCACUGGGACUGAGACACUGCCCAGACUCCUACGGGAGGCUGCAGUCGAGAAUCUUCCGCAAUGCACGAAAGUGUGACGGAGCGAUGCCGCGUGUCAGAAGAAGGCCUUCGGGUUGUAAAUGACUGUUCUGAGGGAAAAAUUUGUGAUUGUACCUCAGCAGAAAGGGGUUGCUAACUCUGUGCCAGCAGCAGCGGUAAUACAGAGACCCCGAGCGUUGACCGGAUUUAUUGGGCGUAAGCGUGCGUAGGUGGUUUCGUAAGUCAUUUGUUAAAUCUUCAGGCUCAACCUGGAGGCUGCAGGUGAUACUGCGAGACUAGAGGACGGGAGAGGCUAGUGGAAUGUCUGGUGUAGGGGUCAAAUCCGUUAAGAUCAGAUAGAACACCAAAUGCGAAGGCAACUAGCUAGAACGAUCCUGACACUGUUGCACGAAAGCGUGGGUAGCGAAUGGGAUUAGAUACCCCAGUAGUCCACGCCGUAAACGAUGAGUGCUAGGUAUUGAGAGUAUCGACCCUCUCAGUGCCGUUGAACCAAGCUAACGCGUUAAGCACUCCGCCUGGGGAGUACGGCCGCAAGGCUAAAACUCAAAGGAAUAGACGGGGACCUGCACAAGCGGUGGAACAUGCGGUUUAAUUCGAUAGUACGCGAGAAACCUCACCUGGGCUCAACUACUGGCUGCAAGCUCUAGAGAUAGAGUCGCCUUCGAGGGUGCCAGAUAGGUGCUGCAUGGUCGUCGUCAGCUCGUGCCGUGAGGUGUACCCUUAAGGGGGGUAACGAGCGCAACCCCUGUCCUGCGUUAUACUUUCGCAGGAGACUGCCCUCGCAAGGGGGAGGAAGGAGGGGAUGACGUCAGAUCAGCAUGGCCCUUACGUCCAGGGCAACACGCAUGUUACAAUGGUCGGUACAACGGGAAGCCAAACCGCGAGGUGGAGCAAAUCCCUUAAAACCGAUCUCAGUUCGGAUUGGAGUCUGAAAUUCGACUCCAUGAAGUUGGAAUCGCUAGUAAAGGCGGAUCAGCACGCCGCCUUGAAUACGUUCUCAGGUCUUGUACUCACCGCCCGUCACGUCAAGAGAGUUGGGGGUGCCCGAACGUCGUUGUAGAACGGCGGAAGGCAAAUCCAGCGAUAG